GCAAGUCGAGCGCAGUCCUUCGGGACCGAGCGGCAGACGGGUUAGUAACGCGUGGGAACAUACCCUUUUCUACGGAAUAGCCAUUGGAAACGGAGAGUAAUACCUUAUACGCCCUUUGGGGGAAAGAUUUAUCGGAGAAGGAUUAGCCCGCGUUAGAUUAGGUAGUUGGUGGGGUAAUGGCCUACCAAGCCUACGAUCUAUAGCUGGUUUGAGAGGAUGAUC
rnacentral:rRNA from 1 species